AUUUAGCUGGCAGAUAAAUUGGUGCAAUAAGUGACCUGACAUUUCUUUCUUGUUCGACCAUGUUGUACAGUGAAAAUUGACAAAAUCUUGUUCCAAUUGAAAAUAUUUUAUCCUGGUUGUGUAGAUGGUUAAUCCUGAAAACGACCCAGAUUUUCCAUCCCAUAGCAGAAGAGCUCAGCUGUGGCUGUGUGCUCGUUAUUCCCAGCUGGCUGGUGUUAUUAUUCGGCUACUCUCAUUUUGGGCUAUUGUUCUAGUUCACCUUAAAACAGCUGCAUUAAAAACAUCUUUGGGAAUGGCAGGGGCACCAUUUUCUGGGCAGUUGAGGACUUCAAAGCAUGACAGCCAAAUAGGCAGAUGGAGUCAAUCUGCAGAAGUCAGCUCAAAAUCAAUAAGACGAUACAUUUCAGCUGCCACUGAGCAAUGUCACACAUGGAGAAAAUGGGAUGUCGACUCUGCCCAGUUGUGUCAAACAUUUAGAAAGAAGAGAGGAAAAAGACUGCAUGGUAAGAAACAGGUGGCAACUGUUGCUGUUGAAUCCAGCUCUAUGGAAGGACAUGGGAGGGAUUUUUUUAAGAAUUUAGACAUAGUGAAGCUCUGCAAGGUAAAUAAUCCAAUAAAAAUCAGCCCAUCAAAAAGGCAUGAUGAGUUAGGCACAACGAUUAACUGAGCUUUGCCUUUAUGUUAUCCAUGCA
rnacentral:lncRNA from 1 species